rnacentral:lncRNA from 1 species
GACAGACUCAUAUAUAAGCAAGGACAAAAAAAAGUCGUUGCUUUUUCUCUUCCUCCUCCUCUCUGUGGAGCCACCAUGUGAGCCUGGGAAGAGGACAACAGCAAAGGCAUCCUCCAUAAGAGUGUGCAAUUUUGCAGCAUUUAUGAUCAUUAUGUACUUUGUUUCAAAAGAAUGCAUUUUGUCAUAAAAAGCCCUUCACAAGACUAGAGGAAACCAUCAGUUCUCUGUGAAUAUCUCAGCACAACCUGCGGGUUUUUUUUUUUUUUAACUUGCUCUGAGAAUAUUUAAAACAAUCUGCAAAAACUCCUAUGUGAAGCAAUUAGAAGGCAAAACUGGAGCCAAUUGAAUUCUCUUAAUCAAGAAAUAAUUAAUUUGUGCAUGACAAUGUUAGAGUCCUACAUUCAAAAGACUGGACGAUUUAUCCAACCCCCCUUUCACAAAGUUACAAUUUCGAUCUCGCUUUGUUUGUGAGAUAAUAAGGAAGGCUUGUGCAAAGUGAGACAAGAUGAACAGAGAGACUUUCUCAUGAAUAGGAGAAAUGAAUGUUUUUUUAAUUUAAAGGAAACUGUAUUUAAAACACAAUUUUUGGAAAAUAUAAUGAAGUCAAAUAUAAAUAUUGUGAACAGAUGUUUCUUAAGAAGCUGCCGCACUGAAUAGCCACCAUCUGGAGUCAUUCACAGAGAGAACAAGAGAGAACUACUGACGGAAGAGUGGAGGAUUGAGGACAGUGGAGAGUGCAUGCCUGUCUUCUUUAGGCCCUGCUUCAGUUCAGCGCAGCAGAAGUCAAGAGAGGCCAGUGUGAUGGUUCAUCGAGGAAGAGUAAAAGUGCUUGUCACUCAAGCCUCAUGACCUCAUCUCUCCCAAAAGUGACCCGCCACGUGUGUGUGCCAUGACACUAUACUCAGACACUCAGACACAGUAACAGCAAUAAACAAAGAUCUUAACAAAUGAAAUCAAGUGAGGUGGGUGAUAUAGAGACACUGUUAAUUCUAAUGCUACAAGUUAAAAAUCUGAAUUAUAAAUGUUGAACUGUUCUCAUUACGAGUGAUUUCUUUUGAUAAGAUCCUGGCAAAUGUAGUCUAAAUUUGAGUUUAAUGCACUUAAAAUAAAAUUUAUGCCAUUUAUCGGGAAGAAAUGUGGGCUGAUUGUUAGUUGAGCUUUUGU